rnacentral:rRNA from 1 species
UACAGAGGGUGCGAGCGUACAUCGGAAUUACUGGGCGUAAAGGGUGCGUAGGUGGUUAUUUAAGUCAGAUGUGAAAACCCUGGGCUUAACCUAGGAACAGCAUUUGAAACUGGAUAGCUAGAGUGCGGAAGAGAGAAGUGGAAUUUCCGGUGUAGCGGUGAAAUGCGUAGAUAUCGGAAGGAACAUCAGUGGCGAAGGCGACUUCUUGGUCCGUUACUGACACUGAGGCACGACAGCGUGGGGAGCAAACAGG